GUCUAUGGCCGUGCUACCCUGAACAAGCCCCAUCUCGUCUGAUCUCAGAAGCUAAGCAGGGUCAGGCCUGGUUAGUAUUUGGAUGGGAGACCACCUAGGAAGACCAGGUGCUGUAGGCA
rnacentral:rRNA from 1 species